CCUACGGGAGGCAGCAGUGAGGAAUAUUGGUCAAUGGACGAAAGUCUGAACCAGCCAUGCCGCGUGCAGGAAGACGGCUCUAUGAGUUGUAAACUGCUUUUGUACAAGGGUAAACCUGUAUACGUGUAUUCAGCUGAAAGUACUGUACGAAUAAGGAUCGGCUAACUCCGUGCCAGCAGCCGCGGUAAUACGGAGGAUCCAAGCGUUAUCCGGAUUUAUUGGGUUUAAAGGGUGCGUAGGCGGAUUGAUAAGUUAGAGGUGAAAUGUUCGGGCUUAACUCGGUAAUUGCCUCUAAUACUGUUAGGCUAGAGAGUAGAUGCGGUAGGCGGAAUGUAUGGUGUAGCGGUGAAAUGCUUAGAGAUCAUACAGAACACCGAUUGCGAAGGCAGCUUACCAAUCUAUAUCUGACGUUGAGGCACGAAAGCGUGGGUAGCAAACAGGAUUAGAUACCCGGGUAGUC
rnacentral:rRNA from 1 species